GCUGAAGAUCAGGAUUCACCACAUGGAACAAAUGUAGCCUGGUCACAGAAAGCAACUGAUAGCACGGUGGUGAAGGAUGUAGACGGUCAUGAAACCAAACAGGAAAUUUGAAAGGACAUGAUUCCUCAAGAGACUUGACGGCAUCCCUUCAUACGAGGACCCGCGGACCCUGUGAGGCCAGCGACAC